GUGGGUGUGGCACAGCUGGUUAGCGCGUCGGAUUGUGGUUCCGAAGGUCGAGGGUUCGAACCCCUCUACCCACCCGA
rnacentral:tRNA from 1 species